CGACGCUGAGAAAUUGUUCUUUAUUGGAUUAAAGCUAAUUUUUUAAAAAGACAGUGAUUGUUUGUUAGUUUCUUUGGGGCGAAGUUCUUUUAAAAGGUAACAAAGAAGUGCAAAGGCAAAUUAAUUUGAAAAAUUUCAUUUUAAAACGAAAAAGUAUAUAUUUGCUUAACUGUAAGGUUGAUAUACCAAGCAGAAAUUAACGUUGGCUUUAUUGAACCAACUUUUUUG
rnacentral:rRNA from 1 species